GCUUUCGUGGAUUAGAGUGUCAAAUCACCUUGAAGCUGUUUCCAAUUCACAUCCCUUCUCAAGGAGACAUGGGUUCAAAUCCCAUCGGAGGCA